rnacentral:tRNA from 1 species
UUGUGGCUCAGCGGUAGAGCGCUCGCCUAGCAUGUGUGAGGUUCUGGGUUCAAUCCUCAGCAA